GGGGCCGUUUUUGGAUUCGACGGGGGUAGUUCGAGCAUGAGUAGCGAGUAGCGGGGACGCGUCCGCUUCAUCAACGCUAAAGCCAAUUAAACGGCAAACAACAAAACAACUACGCUUUCGCAGCUUAAUAACCUGUGAGCGUGCUUCUACCCUGCAUCGCCCAUGUGACAGGGAUAGGGGCUAACAAGUAGUGGGAUACGCUGUCUGGUCUCCGCCUGGGGUCAGCAGAAGAAGAUAAUCAGGCUGACCCAACGUAUAGCCGGUUACGGGGCGAUACUCGGGUGACAUCAAAACUGUAACUACACUCGUAGAAGCUUAUGUGGCGUUACCUUCGGACAGGGGUUCGACUCCCCUCGGCUCCAUAA
rnacentral:tmRNA from 1 species